GUUCUUCAGUACAAAGCCCUUACCUUGUGAUCCAUCUAGUUUACCGAAAUAUCCUCCAAGCAAGGAAUAUGAUGCUAAGAUGCGGGAAGAGGAAGCAAGAAGGCGAAAAGCUGAGAGUGUGAAAGGAUGUGGAGAUGAAUCAUUGAGCAAGUCGUCCAGGCAAUCAAAGGGAGAAAGCACUAUAGAAUCUAUUGCUGGGCAGGGACAAUCAAAUCUCAGCAUCAGUGUUAAAUAUAAUCCUCUAGAAGAAAGUGGAACUGGAUUCCCUAUUGAGCCACCAAGAGUGAAAAAUAGGAAUGGAUUUAUUCAUUCUACUUCAGUGAUCCAUCCUAAUUCAGCUGGAUAUUCUCGCCAAGUCAAAGAGGAUUCAUGUACAUCCCAACAUGGUGGAGAGUUUCUAAGACAGGGUUCUCACACGUCUCGAACUGUAGGAGACUUUUCAAGUGUUCAUUCAAAGAGGGAUGA
rnacentral:misc_RNA from 1 species